AGCGAACGCUGGCGGCAGGCCUAACACAUGCAAGUCGAACGAACCUUUCGGGGUUAGUGGCGGACGGGUGAGUAACACGUGGGAACGUGCCUUUAGGUUCGGAAUAACUCAGGGAAACUUGUGCUAAUACCGAAUGUGCCCUUCGGGGGAAAGAUUAAUCGCCUUUAGAGCGACCCGCGUCUGAUUAGCUAGUUGGUUGAGGUAAUGGCUCACCAAGGCGACGAUCAGUAGCUGGUCUGAGAGGAUGAUCAGCCACAUUGGGACUGAGACACGGCCCAAACUCCUACGGGAGGCAGCAGUGGGGAAUCUUGCGCAAUGGGCGAAAGCCUGACGCAGCCAUGCCGCGUGAAUGAUGAAGGUCUUAGGAUUGUAAAAUUCUUUCACCGGGGACGAUAAUGACGGUACCCGGAGAAGAAGCCCCGGCUAACUUCGUG
rnacentral:rRNA from 1 species